GGCUCUUUGGCGCAAUUGGUAGCGCAAUCGACUCCAGAUCGAUAGGUUACAGGUUCAAAUCCUGUAGGGGUCA
rnacentral:tRNA from 1 species